UAUUUAUUUAAUUAUUUCACUAUUUACUUUAUCAUUUCAUGGUCCCUACACCAGCAGUGCAUCAUGAAAUCAUUUCAUCUGUCACUGCUGCUCGUCAAAGUUUCUAACAUCUGAUUGGUUACUCAGCAAAGCAAGUCAUGACAGAUCGAUCCCAGAUAAUGGAUUGAAGCAGUGAAUGCACUCCGAUACGUUAGGUGACAGUGUUCAUCCGUAUAUUCGUUUCGGUACGCUCUUCAUUUGUCGCCGAAAAAAUAGUUGCUGAUGAUACAAGUGAAGACUUUCAGCUCACCAUUGGUGCAAAGUGUUAGUGCAGGAUGUCCAAAAGCUCUCCGGAGCACAGGUACAGCAGAUACCUGUCGCUACACCACGUACACCUGUUCAAGGUAGGUAAGGAUAGCCAGAUGUGCUUCUAAACGAAGCUAGCUAGUCGGCAGAAUGGUGUUAGCAUGUCAGCAGCCCUGAAGUUGGACUUUUAUCACUUCUUUCUUUUUAGUUGUUGUUUGCUUUCUUUAUUACAUUUAUCAGGACUUAAGGAUGUUUUAGCUGAGUGGCGAUCAUGGGAGCUGUAACAUUUUCUCUGUGUUGCAGCCGAAGUAGCAAGGCUGUUUGCUCCAUACAACAACAACAACAACAACAACAACAACAACAACAACAACAACAAGGCUGAUAAAGUUCCAAGCAUUCAGCUUAAAGCAGACCUUCUUGCUUCAGGACUUGGAGAACAAAGGUGAUCUUUUCAGGAAAUGACAACGAUCCCAUGGUUGUAACAAACAAACUGAUGGAGGUGUUUCCAAAGCUGCAAGAAGGGGGAGGCUUUGAGUUUCUAAAAAUUGCAGGAUCUACUCGCAGUCGAAAUCUUGGACUUCUUCAAUGUCCCAGCACAGGAUACACCCUUACCUAUCUAAAAGAUCCAUCUCCAACAAUUGGACAGGCUACAAUUGACAUACGCCCACUUCAACAGGACCUACCCAUUGAUUCAGUAUGGAAAUUUACACUGUCACCAUUUGAUACAUAGUUCAAAUAAAUUGCACUGUGGAGUUUUAAUCAAUACUUAACAGAUUUGUUGUUCUUAGGAAAGCUCGGGACAUGCCUCUGGUCCAGAAGGAGGUUCCCUUCUCUGAAAUGAAACUGCACCGAGCUAACUGGGAUGGCUAUGCACUUGUUAAAGAUAUAUAAGAAUUACAUAUUCAUUUUUCAAUAAGAAAUGUCUUUUUAGUUUUUGUGCACACAGAUGAGAGGAAAUGACUAUAACAUUUUCUGAACUUCAAGGACCCCCAUGCAGGAAACACAUAGAGAAGGAGAGGGAGACCGUGGUGAGGAGAAUGAUAGAGAGCCACCCACUGACAGGGACAGCGUUCCAGUGAGGCCUGAAACAUCUGUAGAGAGUGAAGUAGAACCAGUAGUGAUUGAAAACUGGAAGAUUAUUAAAGAACCAACUCUGGCUGCCCAAGUUUUCAAAGAUAAUCUACUAAGUGAACAUGCAACCGGGAAGCCUCUUAAACUGAAACUGGAUGUAAGGGAGCGUGAGGAGGACAGGGAACGGGCACUUCUCUCAUUCUAUAAACAGCAACAGGAAUGGGCAUGUCCACUUCAUUGUACCCUUGAUGUUUUAUAGGUGAUGCUGCUGUUGGACAGGGAGUGAUGCGGUACUUUCUGACAACAAUAAUAUCCAAACUCCAGUUUGGAUUCAGAAUGAAUCUUGGAGGAGUGGGCCAAACUCUGCUAUUUGAAGGUGAGCCUGACCAUCUCGUUCCAGCUGCAUCAGAGGUGCUUAUUGAGAGCAACCUCUUCCGGGUUGCAGGAAGGAUGAUAGCCCACUCCUUUUUGCAUGAUGGCCCCCAUGUCACCGGAUUAAGUCCUGCUGUUAUUCAUGUACUGUUCAAUGGGGACCCUGAAAUGGCAACAAUUGUUGUCGAGGACUGUCCUGAUCUGCACAUCAGGAGUAUUAUAACAAUGCUUGAACUUGAAGAACUUACUCAGGAACAGAAGGACACAGUGUCAGAUCUUUCCCUGUCUUGGGAUCUCCCAGCAGUCACUAAAACGAAUCAGAGGUGGCUACAUAACAAACUUCUAGUACACGCGGUGAGUUUCUCCUGCUGAUUUGGUGAAUUCUCCUUCUGAAAUUGAACUCAUCCCCCAUUUAUCCAUCAAUUAUGUUUCAAGCUAAGCAAUUCUAUCACGUCUGCAUUUCUUUUGCACAUCUGUAUUUCAAUCACAAACUAAUUGGAACUGCAGGCAGGAUUAUUACAGAACCUAAACACUCUUUAACUUGUAAUCUAGGCAGGGAGUGGUUUGG